GGUGAUGGCCAUAUCACCCUAAGCAUGCAUGAUCUUGUCUCAUCUCAGAAGUUAAGCAGGGUCUGGCCUGGUUAGUACUUGAGGGGAAACUUUAAGAGCCACACAAAAAAAAUCAUCAUAU
ensembl:rRNA 5S_rRNA 5S ribosomal RNA